ACCUGUCUCGGAUUGAAAUGGAUCACAGAGCUGCUCAUUCUGUUCCUGCGCUGAGGCUUCUUUCCGAACUGGUUCUAGACAUAGAGAACCUCGACAUUCGAAGUGCAGCAACACGAGCAUUCGGAUCGAUACCUAGUUCUAGGAUGCGGGGGCGUCUUUUCCGAGUGAUAUAUUCGAAGAAUACUUGCGGAUGGAAUUCGUUGCGUUGCUGGAGUCAAAAUGAUUCGCGGAGUGUCAUCGAAGAUGCGUUCGUAAAAUAUCCGAUAUCAUUAAGCAAUGGAUAUGUACGAGCCUCCAGUGUGCGCCUGUGCUGAUGUGCAGCAUCCCCGUACCGUACACUCUUCAAGAUCCCUGUCUGGGUAUCUCAUGGAGAAUCGCGGGCGCUGUGAUUCCGGUCGAUUGAUGGACAAUGAUAGAUACUCGACGUCGCCUGCGCACGACUGCCUCACAAGAUCUUAUCGCAAGUUCAGUGCAACGCUCGCGUCCAAUAGCCGAUUCCGUUCGAAAAGCAAAUCCUCCUGUCUCGAUCGCGAUCGACGAAGCGGGACGCUGCACCGAGGUGACGCCCCCGACGGGAUACGUCCCGAGACGAUCCCGUCUCUCCAGGCUGCAUAGACAAGUAUCUUGGACCGGGACUCGAGUCAUCGGAGGUACCGCUGCCGGUGGAUCGAGCGUCACUGCUCGGCACAAGCGAGGAGCGUAGACGGAUCAACGUAUCGCGACUUGACCUGUUGCCAGGGCUCCUCUUUCGGUGCUCGGUUCGUCACGUACAACAUCGCGUUCCACGAAUCAUCGAUCGAAAGGGAGUGCGUUCGCUCGCACGUGUAUCGGUCGGAUUACGUGCCGCUGGGAUCGCAAAGAACAAGCACGUGAUCACAGUGUACGGCAAUGCCGGCGGUUACGGACGAGGGCAUCGACGGUAUCCUUGGGUACUCGUCGAGGGCAUGCAGCGCUCGAUGAUGCAAGUAUUCGUGCGCCACUGGGCGGCUCUCGGAGGAGGAGUAGGGAGCGUGCUGGGCACCAGACGGCACCAGACCACAGCCAGGUAUCGACGAUGCCAGGAGCACAGCGAGGCUCUAUACGAAGAAGAUGAAAAUAGCAAGCGAGGCUUCGGUCGGAGCUUUCGCCUGUCUUUGGAAUACGUUGAAAGCAGCGUGAAGCAAUGAGGUAAGGACUUGAACGGUAGGGACAAUAUCCGUCCACUCCUGAUUAUUGAUCUGGAGGCAAAGGAGAGACCAGCGUAUUGAAAGCGGGGUAGCCGACAGGCGAAAAGGAGGAAUUCGCAGGAAAAGCGCUCAGAGGCUUGUGUGCGCAGCAAUGGGGGAAGCGACCCAAACUUUCGUACGUAUGACCGACUUGCUGACAAGACCUGUUCCCCUUUAUUCUGCGAUGGUUGUCAGAGCAGUGAUAAUUGAAACCUGCCGAAACCCUUCCGGAUUGUUACCUACGAAAAGCUCUACUCACGCUCCCAUAGAUCGUUCGUCUGUAAAGCAUCCGCAA